rnacentral:tRNA from 1 species
UGAGAUAUGGUGUAAGGGUAGCACAAGAGAUUUUGGUUCUCUUUGUUCAAGUUCGAAUCUUGAUAUCUCAA